rnacentral:lncRNA from 10 species
GUAGCAUGCAUUGUUAUUCACAAGGCAGUCAAAGAGAAUUUAAGUGGAAUGUGGGUUUCAAAGUCCAGGUGAGAGGCAGUCUUCCAGAAGUCUGGGCUCUUCCACUGCUAGGGAAGAGAGGACCUGGUGGAUGCUGGCUCACUUUUGUUUUUGCUUUGUUUUCUGAGACAGAGUCUCACUCUGUUGCCCAGGUUGGAGGGCUCCAUCAUGGUGUACUUCAGCCUCGACCUCCCGGGCUGAAGCUAUCCUGCCACCUCAGCCUUCCAAGUAGCUGGUACUACAGGUAUGAGCCACCACACCCAGCUACUUUUUAUGAUUUUUUUCUAGAAACGGAGUUUUGCCAUGUUGUCCAGUCUGGUCUCAAACUCCUGAGCUCAAGCCAUCUGCCCGUCUCGGCCUCCCAAAGUGUGAGGAUUACAGGCAUGAGCCGUAGUGCAUGGCCACUGGCUCACUUUUGAAAGCACUUUGCAAACCUCUGUCACCCUCAAACAGCCCAGCAAACAGGGAAUUGCCAAUGCAAAGAAGCCGGGUGCAGGCUGCCUGCCUUGCCUUGGGACCAGAGUGGCCUGGCGGUGGAACAUGAGAGGAGAGCAGCUGACCCUGGCCUUUAGGGGCUGGAACCAGCUUCUGCUCUUUGCUCCUCUGGACACAGACCCCACUCCCUGGGGUCUCCUGGUCCAUCCUGGCUAUGAUGACAGGCAAUGACUGAGGUUUGAUGAUGUCCUGGCCAAGUGUGGUGCCUCAUGUUUGUAAUCCUAGCACUUUGGGAGGCCAAGGCAGGAGGAUUGCUUGAGGCUAGGAGUUGGAGACCAGCCUGGGCAACAUGGUGAAAUCCUGUCUCUACAAAAAAUACAAAAAUUAACUGGAUGUGGUGGUGAACACUUGUAGUCCCAGCUACAGUAGCCCUGCUGAGGAAGAAGGAUGAUAUGAUCUGGGAGGUCGAGGCUGCAGUCAGCCGUGAUUGUACCACUGCACUCUAGCCUGGGUGACAGAGUGAGACCCUGUCUGAAAAAAAUAAAAAUAAGUAAUUUUGAUAAAGUCCAGUUUAUUACUUUUUUUUUUC